GAUGAACGCUGGCGGCGUGCCUAAUACAUGCAAGUCGAGCGAACGGACGAGAAGCUUGCUUCUCUGAUGUUAGCGGCGGACGGGUGAGUAAUACGUGGAUAACCUACCUAUAAGACUGGGAUAACUUCGGGAAACCGGAGCUAAUACCGGAUGAUAUUUUGAACCGCAUGGUUCAAAAGUGAAAGACGGUCUUGCUGUCACUUAUAGAUGGAUCCGCGCUGCAUUAGCUAGUUGGUAAGGUAACGGCUUACCAAGGCAACGAUGCAUAGCCGACCUGAGAGGGUGAUCAGCCACACUGGAACUGAGACACGGUCCAGACUCCUACGGGAGGCAGCAGUAGGGAAUCUUCCGCAAUGGGCGAAAGCCUGACGGAGCAACGCCGCGUGAGUGAUGAAGGUCUUCGGAUCGUAAAACUCUGUUAUUAGGGAAGAACAUAUGUGUAAUAAACUGUGCGCAUCUUGACGGUACCUAAUCAGAAAGCCACGGCUAACUACGUG
rnacentral:rRNA from 1 species